GACUUAAUUCCUUAAUAAAUCGAAGGGAAAAUAUCCACCGUCCACCCAUUUUUUUCAACUUUUUUCAAAAAUACACAAUUCUUUCUUUUUUUGGCUGAAAUCCAACUAAAGUUACAUUUUGUUUCACUUUUCCACUUCCGUUUAGAAUUCGUUAAGAAAACUAACGGAAACUUUAAAAAAUGACCAUUUUACCCCCAAAAC
rnacentral:lncRNA from 1 species